rnacentral:rRNA from 1 species
GACGAACGCUGGCGGCGUGCUUAACACAUGCAAGUCGAACGGUAAGGCCCUUUCGGGGGUACACGAGUGGCGAACGGGUGAGUAACACGUGGGUGAUCUGCCCUGCACUUUGGGAUAAGCCUGGGAAACUGGGUCUAAUACCGGAUAGGACUACGCGAUGCAUGUCGUGUGGUGGAAAGCUUUUGCGGUGUGGGAUGGGCCCGCGGCCUAUCAGCUUGUUGGUGGGGUGAUGGCCUACCAAGGCGACGACGGGUAGCCGGCCUGAGAGGGUGUCCGGCCACACUGGGACUGGGAUACGGCCCAGACUCCUACGGGAGGCAGCAGUGGGGAAUAUUGCACAAUGGGCGCAAGCCUGAUGCAGCGACGCCGCGUGGGGGAUGACGGCCUUCGGGUUGUAAACCCCUUUCAGCACAGACGAAGCGUAAGUGACGGUAUGUGCAGAAGAAGCACCGGCCAACUACGU